GAUGAACGCUGGCGGCGUGCCUAAUACAUGCAAGUCGAGCGAAUGGAUUAAGAGCUUGCUCUUAUGAAGUUAGCGGCGGACGGGUGAGUAACACGUGGGUAACCUGCCCAUAGGACUGGGAUAACUCCGGGAAACCGGGGCUAAUACCGGAUAACAUUUUGAACCGCAUGGUUCGAAAUUGAAAGGCGGCUUCGGCUGUCACUUAUGGAUGGACUCGCGUCGCAUUAGCUAGUUGGUGAGGUAACGGCUCACCAAGGCAACGAUGCGUAGCCGACCUGAGAGGGUGAUCGGCCACACGGGGACGGAGACACGGCCCAGACUCCUACGGGAGGCAGCAGUAGGGAAUCUUCCGCAAUGGACGAAAGUCUGACGGAGCAACGCCGCGUGAGUGAUGAAGGCUUUCGGGUCGUAAAACUCUGUUGUUAGGGAAGAACAAGUGCUAGUUGAAUAAGCUGGCACCUUGACGGUACCUAACCAGAGAGCCACGGCUAACUACGUGCCAGCCGCCGCGGUAA
rnacentral:rRNA from 1 species